rnacentral:rRNA from 1 species
CAGUCGCCGCGGGAACACGUAGGUGGCAAGCGUUGUCCGGAAUUAUUGGGCGUAAAGGGCUCGCAGGCGGUUUCUUAAGUCUGAUGUGAAAGCCCCCGGCUCAACCGGGGAGGGUCAUUGGAAACUGGGAAACUUGAGUGCAGAAGAGGAGAGUGGAAUUCCACGUGUAGCGGUGAAAUGCGUAGAGAUGUGGAGGAACACCAGUGGCGAAGGCGACUCUCUGGUCUGUAACUGACGCUGAGGAGCGAAAGCGUGGGGAGCGAACAGGAUUAGAUACCCCCGUAGUCCCUGUCUCUUAUAA